rnacentral:lncRNA from 1 species
AAACAAACCCCCACUCUGAUUGAGUUCAUCUCAACUCAAACAAACCCCCACUCUGAAUGAGUUAAUUUCAACUCAAACACCCCCACUCUGAAUGAGUUCAUCUAAACUCAAACAAACCCCCACUCUGAAUGAGUUCAUCUCUCAAACAAACCCCCACUCUAAAUUAGUUAAUCUCAAUUUAAACAAACCCCCACUCUUUAUGAGUUCAUCUCAACUCAAACAAGCCCCCACUC